rnacentral:rRNA from 1 species
AUUGCCCUAGUAACGGCGAGUGAAGCGGCAACAGCUCAAAUUUGAAAUCUGGCCCUCGCGGUCCGAGUUGUAAUUUGUAGAGGAUGCUUUUGGCGCGGUGCCUUCCGAGUUCCCUGGAACGGGACGCCAUAGAGGGUGAGAGCCCCGUACGGUUGGACGCCUAGCCUCUGUAUAGCUCCUUCGACGAGUCGAGUAGUUUGGGAAUGCUGCUCUAAAUGGGAGGUAAAUUUCUUCUAAAGCUAAAUACCGGCCAGAGACCGAUAGCGCACAAGUAGAGUGAUCGAAAGAUGAAAAGCACUUUGAAAAGAGGGUUAAAUAGCACGUGAAAUUGUUGAAAGGGAAGCGUUUGCGACCAGACCUUUUCCAGGCGGAUCAUCCGGCGUUCUCGCCGGUGCACUUCGCCUGGUUUAGGCCAGCAUCGGUUUCCUUAGGGGGAUAAAGGCUUAGGGAACGUAUCUCUCUCGGGAGUGUUAUAUCCCUUUGCGUAAUACCCUUCGGGGGACCGAGGACCGCGCUCUGCAAGGAUGCUGGCGUAAUGGUCGUCAACGACCCGUCUUGAAACACGGACCAAGGAGUCGAACAUUUGUGCGAGUGUUUGGGUGUUAAACCCUCACGCGUAAUGAAAGUGAACGGAGGUGAGAGCCUUUCGGGGCGCAUCAUCGACCGAUCCUGAUGUCUUCGGAUGGAUUUGAGUAAGAGCAUAACUGUUCGGACCCGAAAGAUGGUGAACUAUGCGUGGAUAGGGUGAAGCCAGAGGAAACUCUGGUGGAGGCUCGCAGCGGUUCUGACGUGCAAAUCGAUCGUCAAAUCUGCGCAUGGGGGCGAAAGACUUAUCGAACCAUCUAGUAGCUGGUUACCGCCGAAGUUUCCCUCAGGAUAGCAGUGUUGUCUUCAGUUUUAUGAGGUAAAGCGAAUGAUUAGGGACUCGGGGGCGCUAUUUUGCCUUCAUCCAUUCUCAAACUUUAAAUAUGUAAGAAGCCCUUGUUACUUAGUUGAACGUGGGCAU